rnacentral:tRNA from 1 species
GGUCUUAUGGUCUAGUGGUAUGAUUCUCGCUUAGGGUAUACCCUGAGUUACAACUUGCGAGAGGCCCCGCGUUCGAGUCGCGGUAAGACCC